UACGGGGGGGGCAAGCGUUGUUCGGAAUCACUGGGCGUAAAGGGCGCGUAGGCGGCCUGAUAAGUCGGGGGUGAAAGCCUGUGGCUCAACCACAGAAUUGCCUUCGAUACUGUUAGGCUUGAGACCGGAAGAGGUAAGUGGAACUGCGAGUGUAGAGGUGAAAUUCGUAGAUAUUCGCAAGAACACCAGUGGCGAAGGCGGCUUACUGGUCCGGUUCUGACGCUGAGGCGCGAAAGCGUGGGGAGCAAACAGG
rnacentral:rRNA from 1 species